rnacentral:rRNA from 1 species
UACGUAGGGUGCGAGCGUUAAUCGGAAUUACUGGGCGUAAAGCGUGCGCAGGCGGUUUUCCAAGACAGAUGUGAAAUCCCCGGGCUCAACCUGGGAAUGGCAUUUGUGACUGGAAGGCUAGAGUGUGUCAGAGGGGGGUAGAAUUCCACGUGUAGCAGUGAAAUGCGUAGAGAUGUGGAGGAAUACCGAUGGCGAAGGCAGCCCCCUGGGACGGUACUGACGCUGAGACGCGAAAGCGUGGGGAGCGAACAGG